rnacentral:rRNA from 1 species
GACGAACGCUGGCGGCGUGCCUAAUACAUGCAAGUUGAGCGCUGAAGGUUGGUACUUGUACCGACUGGAUGAGCAGCGAACGGGUGAGUAACGCGUGGGGAAUCUGCCUUUGAGCGGGGGACAACAUUUGGAAACGAAUGCUAAUACCGCAUAAAAACUUUAAACACAAGUUUUAAGUUUGAAAGAUGCAAUUGCAUCACUCAAAGAUGAUCCCGCGUUGUAUUAGCUAGUUGGUGAGGUAAAGGCCCACCAAGGCGAUGAUACAUAGCCGACCUGAGAGGGUGAUCGGCCACAUUGGGACUGAGACACGGCCCAAACUCCUACGGGAGGCAGCAGUAGGGAAUCUUCGGCAAUAGACGAAAGUCUGACCGAGCAACGCCGCGUGAGUGAAGAAGGUUUUCGGAUCGUAAAACUCUGUUGGUAGAGAAGAACGUUGGUGAGAGUGGAAAGCUCAUCAAGUGACGGUAACUACCCAGAAAGGGACGGCUAACUACGUG